UUAAAAAAAUUAUAAUCACAAAGUGCCCAGUGUGAUUGCAAAGCCACAAUACAUUUUAGUCAUUAUUUCAACCUGCUUUAUUAUUAAAUGUAUGCAUAUAAAUGUAAAGAAAGUAUAUAUCCGGUUACCAUUUAGGUCUGAGUUGGAUGUAAUUUCAAAACUGCGCUGCCAAGAAUGUUUUAACAAAAUAUUUUACAAAAUCGCGCGAUAGGAUAGAUUUUCUCGCGAGAUAGUUGUCACGUCACACGUUCUCCCGGAAGUACGUCGUGUGCAGCCAGCAAGCCACGAGGAGAGGGUGAAUUUAUGAAGGAGUUGUGUCUAUAUAUUAUAUAAAACCUACUAUUGGUUGAAGAUCAACACAAACCAAAUGAAGAUGUUGUAGAUUCUACAAACAAUAAAAAAGAAGAUCAAGUUUUGUGUCCAACACACUUGGAUGAGACGUGCCUGACUUUGUCUACCCUACAUUAGGUUGUGAUGGCACACAUCAUGACAGUAAACAUCGGUAUCAAGAUGGUGUGAUUGAUCUAUACCCUAGAAUAAGCUGUGACACUGAUGCUGUGAACGUGCUACUGAUGCUUUUUUUGUGCAUUCCCACACUAUACAAACACAUUGCUUGGCUCCAUAUUGCAUACAGUUCCAUCUUUAUAAUGUCAUUCUCAUUUAUAGGGUCACAUAAUGAACAGCCAUCUUACAGAAAACCGAAAGAGGCAUA